GCUGUGUUUGAUAAUUUAGGAAUUCAUUUAACAGGAUGGAUACAGUCAAUAAUCCAAGCACUUUGUAUCCUUUUAUUGAUAUUUCUUGUUAUUUACUUUGUAUACCAGUGCAUCCAGAGAGAGAUCACUCGUAGUAGUGAUUGGACUCAUAAGAUUAUUGGAGCCGUGACUAGGGAAUAUCCUCAACACUUAGUUCCCCCACCAACAUAUCAGGAGGCAACCAUGUAAGUGAAAAUACUUGCAGAAAAUGAAGUAUUUUCAAAGGGGGGAA